rnacentral:misc_RNA from 1 species
GAUGAAGAACGUAGCGAAAUGCGAUACGUAAUGUGAAUUGCAAAUUCAGUGAAUCAUCGAGUCUUUGAACGCACAUUGCGCCCCCUGGUAUUCCGGGAGGCAUGCCUGUUCGAGCGUCACUAAAAUCAACUCAAGCGCUUUUGCAUGGUCAUGGAGGAAGAGUCCGUCUUGUUGCGGUCUCCCCGCCGAAAAUCAACGGCGGAAAGUCACUGGUACCCGGCGUAGUAGAAUCUGUUCGCUGUUCGGCCAGUGUCGUUCCUGCCGGCAAACCCCCCACAAUUCUCUUGAUUGACCUCGGAUCAGGUAGGGAUACCCGCUGAACUUAAGCAUAUCAAUAAGCGGAGGA